GUGCUUGCUUUGGCAGCACAUAUAUUAAAAUUGAAAAGAUACAGAGAAGAUUAGCAUGGCCCCUGCACAAGGAUGACAUGCAAAUUUGUGAAACAUUCCAUAUUUUU
rnacentral:snRNA from 1 species